UACGUAGGGGGCAAGCGUUGUCCGGAUUUAUUGGGCGUAAAGAGCUCGUAGGCGGUUCCGUAAGUCGAGUGUGAAAAAUCUGGGCUCAACCCAGUGGAGCACUCGAUACUGCGGUGACUGGAGUACGGUAGAGGAGUGUGGAAUUCCUGGUGUAGCGGUGAAAUGCGCAGAUAUCAGGAGGAACACCGGUGGCGAAGGCGGGUCUCUGGACCGAUACUGACACUGAGGAGCGAAAGCGUGGGGAGCGAACAGG
rnacentral:rRNA from 1 species